GAUGAACGCUAGCGGCAGGCCUAAUACAUGCAAGUCGAGGGGCAGCGCGGUAGCAAUACUGGCGGCGACCGGCGCACGGGUGCGUAACACGUAUGCAACCUACCUUCAACUGGAGGAUAGCCCGGGGAAACUCGGAUUAAUACUCCAUAACACAGGGAUCCCGCAUGGGAAUAUUGUUAAAGCUACGGCGGUUGAAGAUGGGCAUGCGUUCGAUUAGCUAGUUGGUGUAGGUAACGGCUCACCAAGGCUACGAUCGAUAGGGGGUCUGAGAGGAUGAUCCCCCACACUGGUACUGAGAUACGGACCAGACUCCUACGGGAGCAGCAGUAGGGAAUAUUGGUCAAUGGGCGCAAGCCUGAACCAGCCAUGCCGCGUGCAGGAAGAAGGCCCUCUGGGUUGUAAACUGCUUUUGAUAGGGAACAAAUGCCACUUGCGAGUGGAGCUGAGUGUACCUAUAGAAUAAGCACCGGCUAAACUCCGUGCCAGCAGCC
rnacentral:rRNA from 1 species